rfam:Xenopus laevis strain J chromosome 8S, whole genome shotgun sequence.
AAGCAUGAUGGAUUAUGCUAUUGCUCCUUCUUUAGCGGGACAGCAGUAUUUCCAAACAUGCAAGAAAAACCUAAGGAGUUGUCAGGGUUACCAGUUGUAAAGUAGUAGCUGAGUAUAUUACUCCUACAGUA